rnacentral:tRNA from 1 species
GAGAACGUGGGCAGGGAACGGUGGACGCUCACGGCGGCCGGUGAGGGGAAUGGGGUCCUCCCACACGUCCGGUGCCGUGUCGUCCUCGCC